UUAGGAGCGCCGCCUGUACCUCGCCAGCUGGUAGGGCUUCGUUUCCUGCGCCCAGUGGAGGAAGUGACGGUGGCGCAGCUCACGGAUUCCCUCUCCCUCCCAGGCUCCCACCAGCUGAGUCGCAGGAGGUGUGGAGGUGCGCGUGACGGUGUAGGGCACGGCGUGUGUUGAUACUCCUGUAUUAGUGACAAGAUACGCCUUUUGGAACUCUUCGGGCGUCCAGAAAAGCGGACCCGGAAGCCUGCCUCACCUGUGUGGAUGGGGAAACAAGCGGGCAGGUGAGCCAGAACAAGUGCAGGUGACCGUUAAGAGGUAACCUUUGAGCCCCGUGAGUCAAGGUCAUUAACGGAGGAGAUAAAUGAGCUUCUACUUAUCCACAAACUACCACAAUAACCAAUCACUCUUAAGAAAGGAAGUUGUGGCCCACUGCACCUGAUGUCCCUUCCUCCCCACCACCACUCCACACUCCCCAUAAGCCCCCACACAGUAAAAGUAAGACCAGAAAUAUCCCUACCUCUCCUGUUGGAGUCUCCCAUGUACUGCACUGCUGCUGCUCCUCCAAGACUGUUACUGCUGAACCAUAAUCCAAAAAUUUUAUUCCCUUGUGUGUCAAACUUGUGAUCUUCUCCAUCCGUCAUGCAUCAACCCAGCCUUCACAAGGGGAGAUAAGCGACAAGCCGAGUGACCAAUCCCUUGCUGCGUAGUGUACCUCAUAGCUCUACCUCGCCAUUCACUGCCUGCCGUGCAUCCCCAGCUGCCCGCGGCCCGCCACCAGCCAAGCCAGUCUACGCUAUUGUCUCCGCAAGCCCCGUGAUUAUUAACUUUUUUGUGUUUUUAUAUAACAUUGGUCAGCAGAUACCGUGUGAUGGCUUCUAACAGUGGUGAGGGGAUUGCCGAAGGGGGCUUAUUACGACGCAAAACAGACCCCAGCCCUAGUGAGUGGAAGAGAAUUGUGGCGAAAACCAAACGGAACACUGGCCAGGAAUACGUGAGCCGAGAUACAGGGAAAGUCAUAAAAAAGCGUGAGGUAGGGCCUGCAUGCAAGGAUGGUUGUUAUGAUAAGUUGGGCUUAGAUAACAUUAAGAAAAUACAUGAAUCCUUUAGGUGUAUUUCUUUUCCUUUUUUCAUGUCUUCUACUUUACUUUUUCUCCUCUUAAUCUCUCUUUUUCGAUUUUGAAGAUUUUUCUUAUCGUGUUUUAUUGUUAUUUUGUAUUUUGCUAUGAUGUGAUUAUGAUUGUGUGGGUUUGGAGUCAUGUUUCAAGCACUAUAGUAGGAUAUUGAUUGAAUAAAAUAAGGAGAAAAACGCGAUCAAAGUUUUCGACAUUUGGAAUGCGAUAGCUAAAAAAAAGAUCAAGCUAGAGAGCUGAGAUUGGUCUUAAAUAAAAGCUUAGGAUGUUUACUUUAUGCAUGGUAUAUUUUUUCAAUAACUUAUCAUAGUUCUGAGAUAUAAACCGAUGACCACAUUUUUCGCCGAUUUAACACUGUGAAAAACAGCUAAAAAAUAAUUUCACCGUUAAUCCUUUUAUAUUAUGGCAAGAUGAUGUGUUUGAUUUUAUGACAGACAUAAAGUAGACAUUCUAAGCUUUCUUUUAAGACCAAACCCAACUCUCUAGCUUGAUCCGUUGCUGAGCUAUCGCAUUCCAAAUGUCACAAAAAUUUGACCCGCGUUUUUCUCCGUUUUUUGUUUUUAGCGCUUAUCGCCCUAUGUCACGCAACGCCUCAAAUAUGGAAAUGCAUCAUGGUACUAAAGAAAGUUAGAAUUUA